UUAUUUAUUCAUAGAACAUGUACAGCACAGGAAGCUGAACUGAAAGCUUACUCCACGGCUUCUUGCCAAUGGUCCUGCUCCCUACCCAGGAAGAAUGUUGGAUAUUUUCAGAAAUAAGAA
rnacentral:sRNA from 1 species